UCCUGUCCCUCUCCCUUUUCUCUUUUCUCCCUGUCUCUGCACGUCUCUCUGUUCGUGGGUGUCUCUAUGCCUCAGGGUCCCUCUCUGCCUUUGAGUCCCCCUCUGCUCCCCACCCUCUCCCUUUCCCCUCUGUCUCUUUCUGUGUCUCUGUGUCUCUUUGUGUCUCUGUGUAUCUCUGUGCAUCUCUGGGCUUCUCCUUGUCUCGGUGUCCCCCUCUACUCCCUGCCCCUCUCCCCUCUCUCUGUCAUUGCGUCUCGGUUUCAGCCUAUCUCUGCAUAUCUCUGCCUCGCUCCAUCUCUGCGUGUCUCUGUGUCUCUGUGGGUCUCGGGCCUCUCCCUGCCUCCGUGUCCCCUGCGCUCCCCGCCCUCUCCCUCUCCCUCUCUCCCCCCUCGCUCUCUCGCUCGCGCUCUCUCUCUGAGCAUCCUUGGGCCCGGGGUUGCCAUGGGGACAAGGUGGGAGCCGGGGAUGGCGCGCGCCUGGGCUCGCGCCGGCAGCUCAGGCGAGGAGCAGCGGCCAGAGCAGCGCCAGCAGCAGGCAGCGAGCGGGCGCGGGAGCGGGAGCGGGAGCGGGGGUAGCGUUGGCGGCGGCGGCUCCUCCUCGGCCAUCCCCUCGGAGCCGUGCAGCUGACGCGCAUGGCGAAGACAGCGGCGCCUACCGAUGGGAGCAGCGGUUCUCGACUGGACCGGGUUGGUGGCCUGAAUGUAUUAGCUUCACUGCGUUUGCCCAAGAGGUCUGCCAGGCGCUGGGUCCAGAG